rnacentral:rRNA from 1 species
UGGGGAAUAUUGGACAAUGGGCGCAAGCCUGAUCCAGCAAUGCCGCGUGAGUGAGGAAGGCCUUAGGGUUGUAAAGCUCUUUCACCCGCGACGAUGAUGACGGUAGCGGGAGAAGAAGCCCCGGCUAACUUCGUGCCAGCAGCCGCGGUAAUACGAAGGGGGCGAGCGUUGUUCGGAUUUACUGGGCGUAAAGGGCGCGCAGGCGGCCACAUUUGUCAGGCGUGAAAGCCCCGGGCUUAACCUGGGAGGUGCGUUUGAGACGGUGUGGCUAGAGUUCGGGAGAGGAGCGUGGAAUUCCCAGUGUAGAGGUGAAAUUCGUAGAUAUUGGGAAGAACACCGGUGGCGAAGGCGGCGCUCUGGACCGAGACUGACGCUGAGGCGCGAAAGCGUGGGGAGCAAACAGG